rnacentral:rRNA from 1 species
UUCGCAAUGCCCGAAAGGGUGACGAAGCGACGCCGCGUGGGUGAGGAAGGCCCUCGGGUUGUAAAGCCCUGUCAGGAGUUAAGAAAUGUAGAUUCGCUAAUAUCGUAUCUAUUUGACAAAGGCUCCAAAGGAAGCCACGGCUAACUCUGUGCCAGCAGCCGCGGUAAUACAGAGGUGGCAAGCGUUGUUCGGAAUUAUUGGGCGUAAAGAGCACGUAGGUGGAUUUGUAAGUCAGAUGUGAAAGCCUUCUGUUCAACGGAAGAAUUGCAUCUGAAACUACAAACCUUGAGUAUAGGAGGGGAGAAUGGAACUUCUGGUGGAGCGGUGAAAUGCGUAGAUAUCAGAAGGAACGCCGGCGGCGAAAGCGAUUCUCUGGCCUAUUACUGACACUCAGUGUGCGAAAGCUAGGGGAGCAAACGGGAUUAGAUACCCCGGUAGUCCUAGCCGUAAACGAUGGGCACUAAGUAGA